AAACAAACCUGGCAAGGAGGAGAUAGAGCAGGAUCAGGAAGGCAGCUUUCCCAGGCUGAGGCUCAUCCAUUGCACUCCAGAUUUGCUGACCCCUGCGAUUUCCCCAGAUGUGGGAAACCCCAUUUUAUAAUUUGUGGUAGUGGAGGACUGCUUUCACACUCUCCCUUG